rnacentral:lncRNA from 1 species
UCUGAGAGUUUUUUACAACUCUUCCUGUGUUUUAAAAUUGGCCAGACCAUGAUCUCUUUUUGAAACUCAUUUCCUGACUAAGUCUGCAGUCUGCUCUUUCAAAACAAAAAAAAUCAUCUGCAUUAGUCAUCUUCUAAAAGUCUGUACCUUCCUAAACAACUCACUUUAAAUACUUAAUCUAUGACAAUUGUAUCUGAGUUGCCUAAUGCAGACUUUCUGUCUAAAUAUAUAUGUUGAACCAGUACGCUCACCGCUUAAUCUAAAACCAAAUCAGUAUGUGCCAAGACAAGCUAAGCUAUAUGUUUGUCUGAUUUGACGGGUUUAUUUGAGCCUUGUUUAUCUGUUUUAUUUUUUCCUCUAUUUGGUACUUGUUUUGUAUGUCAAAAUUAGAAUUUUAUCCUUUAAACUCCAUAAAAGCCCCAUCUCUUUUUUCCAUCUUAGGAUUAGAAGUCCUAAUACCUCGGGACUGAUAAGUUGGGACGGGAACUAGCAUGCAAUAAGUAAACGAGACUAAACAUGCUUUAAUACCUUAACGGGGUGGGAAGAAUAGAAUAUAGAUAUGAUUACCAAUGCACUAAUAUCACGUGCGACCCCUCUUCUGAGGAGUGAUUGCUGGAUAUUCCAUUGGUGUGAUCCAUAUUAUGUUUAAACCUAGGACCCCCUUCCCUUUUCUUCUUAUCUACAAUAUUUUCUUUGAAUUCUGUUUCCCUUUUAAAUUCUUUUUUUUAGAAACAAAAUUGGCUAUUCCUUUCUUUCUUUUAAUGGCUUUAAACUUAUUUGUAAUUACUAUGUGCAAACCUUAUUUGUUUCUUGUAUAUUCUAAUGUCACAAUUAUAGCAUGGCCGGGAACCACACUAGUGGAUCUUGAGGGGUGCCUAACACCUUCCCCUCGAGAUAAUCUCUAAGACCUUACCCAAACUCUGGUUUCUUCUGUCACACCUCCUUUUUCACUACACCAGCAAGGGCGUAAAGGAGUUUUUCCAAUUAAAGGACAAUCAGAACGAGAUUUAUUAUUAAGAUUUUAGAGUUUCCACUUGGGAGAUUAAUGGUGUCGCAAGUUAUCGGUGGAAUCCUAAACCGAGGAAAAUAUGACUCUAUUAAUAAUCCGCAAAUCAGAAAUCCAAGUAAGGAAUUCUGUUAACCCGGGAGAAGGUAUUAGGCAUUUCCGGGUUCCGAGGUUCUAGCAUGGUCGCUCAGCUAUUGUAUUUGAUUUUAUCUGAUUUCAAGACAUGUCUUGAAAUCAGAUAAAAUCAAAUACAACAGUUGGAUUAUAUGAACCAAAUCCAAAUCUCAACGUGGUUUUUGAACCGCUUUUAUUAUUAUUAUUAUUUAUUUUUAACAAGAAUUACAACGUCAUAAAAACGCGUCUCAAACCUUAUCAUAUCAAUGCACCCGUGGUUGUUGACACAUUUCGACGGGGUUGAGAUUCGGAUUUGGGUCACAUUAAUGUGCACCCGAGUUUAGGAAUGUAAUAUUAUUCAAAGCGUACCUCAAAAGACUAACGCGUUAUUAUUUUCGGGAAGGCCGUGAAAUUCGCUAAACGGCCCAUCCCGAAUUCUACGUAUUCUUAUUAUAGCCAUUUAUUGAGGGCCCUGCAAUUAAUGUAUUUUGUUUGGCAAGGCUCGUCUUAUCAUUUUUACUUAAAGAUCAAUCCUAAAGUGACUAUGAUUUUCUACUUAUUUUGUCUCUAAAUAAAUAAAGAAAAGAGUCCUAAUUAGUUAUUAUUCAGCAAAACCAAAGCCCCUCAUUUAUGUAUUACCAAACUAGGUGGCUUUUGGGAAUUGGGACUAGACAACCCAUGUAGAGCGUCCCAGGUGGAAACUCCAAUAACCCGAUUGCGCCUGAGAUCAGCCCAAGCUCAUAGCUAGCCAGGCCGUGCGGGAAGAGAGUUGAGGGAAUGAAUCCCUUGAGCCAGUAGGCCUACUAAUUUGCGCAGCUAACGCUGGACUUCUUACUACAAACCACAGUUGAUUACUCAAACCACUUAUUGCAAGUAAUGUGUGAAUUCUACAACUCCAAUUCCAAUUGAUAUUUACCAAAAUUUAUACGAACAAAAUCAGGCUUUUUUGUUUACUUCCUACUUAUAAGCAUGGAAACGACAUAAAAUACUCAAUGGUAGCUAUAUCCCUUUUUAUGGCAAUCCAACGUGACCAGGAUAAAAUUUACACAAAUCUAUUUUAUUAUAGAUUGAAAGCACACAGCUACUAGAGGUCCAUUUCAUUACUUUCAAAUAAACUCGUGAAACAAAACUGUUAAACCAAAGUUAAUCUAACUAUUCCAUUAUCCUAACACAACACUAAAUACAACUAAUGCUCGAAAUCAAAAGCUCUCAUGCAUUCAAGACAUAUCAAAUGACAAUAUAGCUCGUAGAGCAUAAAUUCAGUCCAUUCACUCUUUAAGUUUUAAUUACAGUAUUCAAACAGCCCAAAGUCAAAGAGAUCUAAUGUGAAAUUAAACUAUCACGAUGAUAGAGCCAAAGCAGUGAUAGAUCUUCAUUUUUAUUUCAGUUUCAACAGGAAAUGCUACAUCAAAAGCUCGACAGGUACCUGUUUUAUGAAAUGGAACAGAGGAAUGGUCAGUCAGCAGCAACUCAAACGUUGCAGUAGUAACAAACAGAAGUUGCAACAGCAGAUAACCAGCAACAACCAACAGCUAAGGGACAGUUCAAACCACCAGUACAGCAAUAAACCACAGAAACACCAGUACAAACCAGAAAAACCAGUAAAAUUCCGGCAGUAAUUCAACUCAAAUUCAAAGCCCAGAAGAGUUUUGAAUACCAAGAACUGAAAUGUAAACCAAUAGCUGGCCCACCAAAUAACUCAAACCAAGUGACUCAAAACCAAUAGAUUCCAGAUGCAAUCAAACUUCGAGUGCAGGACAUGAAUAGAGAGUUUAUCUUUUUUCUAAUCUUAAAUGAGCUAAAGUACUGAAUUUUUAACUCAAAACUAAACAAAACAAUGAGAAAGGUCGAUGAAACACUUCUCUCUUUCUCUCAAUGUUUUCAAAACUCUCUUUACUCUUAAUCUUUUUAUUUUUUUCUAUGUGUUUUUUUGACUCUCCCAACUCUUAUUGCUCAUUCCCAUCCCUAAUGUCUCUACUAAUCUCUAUAUUUAAACCCAAAAUAUUUUUUAACCCUUUUCAGCCCUUUUUUUCUUUUACAAUUUCAAAAAAACCUUUUAUUCUUACCCCAUCC